AUCGCUUCUCAGCCUUUUGGCUAAGAUCGAGUGUAGUAUCUGUUCUUAUCAGUAAAAUUUAAUCUUAGGCUGUACACAGAGGCUCAUGCCUAUAAUCCUAACUCUCUGGGUAGCCAAGGCAGGAGGAUCCCUAAAGAUUAGGUGUUCCAGUCCAGCCUGAGCAAGAGUG
rnacentral:snRNA from 1 species